GCCAGAGUGGCGAAAUUGGUAGACGCAGCGGAUUCAAAAUCCGCCGGUAGUAAUACUGUGCCGGUUCAAGUCCGGCCUCUGGUACCA
rnacentral:tRNA from 10 species